UCAAGCGUGAGGUAAGAGCAUUUGGUGGAUGCCUUGGCAUGUACAGGCGAUGAAGGACGUGGCACGCUGCGAUAAGCGUGGGGGAGCUGUGAGCAAGCUUUGAUCCCGCGAUUUCCGAAUGGGGAAACCCACCCUCACCAUUUCAUUUCGCUGCUGGUUUUGGCCAGUGUCGGAAUGAGGUGGAUAGGGUAUCACCUUGGUGAAUAAAAUAGCCUUGGUGAAGCGAACCCGGAGAACUGAAACAUCUCAGUACCCGGAGGAAAAGACAUCAACCGAGAUUCCGUUAGUAGUGGCGAGCGAACGCGGACCAGGCCAGUGCCUGAUGUUGAGUUAGCAGAACAUUCUGGAAAGUUUGACCAUAGCGGGUGACAGUCCCGUAUGCGAAAGCGAAACAUCAGGACUUGAGUAGGGCGGGACACGUGAAAUCCUGUCUGAACAUGGGGGGACCACCCUCCAAGCCUAAAUACUCGUACAUGACCGAUAGCGAACAAGUACCGUGAGGGAAAGGUGAAAAGCACCCCGAUGAGGGGAGUGAAACAGUACCUGAAACCGAAUGCUUACAAUCAGUUGGAGGGUCCUUGAGGCCUGACAGCGUACCUCUUGUAUAAUGGGUCAGUGACUUAAUCUAUCAAGCGAGCUUAAGCCGUUAGGUGUAGGCGCAGCGAAAGCGAGUCUGAACAGGGCGACUGAGUUUGAUGGAUUAGACCCGAAACCCGGCGAUCUAGGCAUGACCAGGCUGAAGGUGCGGUAACACGCACUGGAGGGCCGAACCGUUUAAUGUUGAAAAAUUAUCGGAUGAGUUGUGUUUAGGGGUGAAAGGCCAAUCAAGCCGGGAAAUAGCUGGUUCUCCGCGAAAUCUAUUUAGGUAGAGCGUCGGAUGUUUACCUGUGGGGGUAGAGCACUGGAUGGGCUAGGGGGUCGCGAGAUCUACCAAACCUAACCAAACUCCGAAUACCACAGAGUUAGUCCGGCAGACAGACGGCGGGUGCUAAGGUCCGUCGUCAAAAGGGAAACAGCCCUAACCUACAGCUAAGGUCCCCAAAUCGUAUCUAAGUGGGAAAGCAUGUGGGAUUUCCAAAACAACCAGGAGGUUGGCUUAGAAGCAGCCAUCCUUUAAAGAAAGCGUAACAGCUCACUGGUCUAAAUAAGAGAUCCUGCGGCGAAAAUGUAACGGGGCUCAAGAUACGUACCGAAGCUUAGGGUGUGCAUUUAUGCACGCGGUAGCGGAGCGUUCCGUAAGCCUGUGAAGCGGGAGGGUAACCGACCGUGGAGGUAUCGGAAGUGAGAAUGCUGACAUGAGUAGCGAUAAAGAGGGUGAGAUGCCCUCUCGCCGAAAUCCCAAGGGUUCCUGCUUAAAGCUAAUCUGAGCAGGGUGAGCCGGCCCCUAAGACGAGCCCGAAGGGGGUAGUCGAUGGGAACCACGUUAAUAUUCGUGGGCCUGGAGGUGUGUGACGGAUGGCGUAAGUUGUCAGGCCUUAUUGGAUUGGUCUGGCUUCGAAGUUGUCCCAGGAAAUAGCCCCUCCGUAUAGACCGUACCCUAAACCGACACAGGUGGGAUGGUAGAGUAUACCAAGGCGCUUGAGAGAAGUGUACUGAAGGAACUCGGCAAAUUACCUCCGUAACUUCGGGAGAAGGAGGCCCCACAUAUGGGCAACCAUGUGUGGGGGGCACAAGCCAGGGGGUAGCGACUGUUUAGCAAAAACACAGGACUCUGCUAAGUCGGCUUCAAGACGACGUAUAGGGUCUGACGCCUGCCCGGUGCUGGAAGGUUAAGAGGAGGAGUGCAAGCUCUGAAUUGAAGCCCCAGUAAACGGCGGCCGUAACUAUAACGGUCCUAAGGUAGCGAAAUUCCUUGUC
rnacentral:rRNA from 1 species